UACAGAGGGUGCGAGCGUUGUUCGGAAUUAUUGGGCGUAAAGGGCGCGUAGGCGGCGCCACAAGUCACCUGUGAAAACUCUGGGCUCAACCCAGAGCCUGCAGGCGAAACUGUGGUGCUGGAGUAUGGGAGAGGUGCGUGGAAUCCCCGGUGUAGCGGUGAAAUGCGUAGAUAUCGGGAGGAACACCUGUGGCGAAAGCGGCGCACUGGACCAUAACUGACGCUGAGGCGCGAAAGCUAGGGGAGCAAACAGG
rnacentral:rRNA from 1 species